UACGAAGGGGGCGAGCGUUGUUCGGAAUUACUGGGCGUAAAGGGCGCGUAGGCGGCCGAUCAAGUUAGAUGUGAAAGUCCUGGGCUUAACCUGGGGACUGCAUUUGAUACUGAUUGGCUUGAAUUCGGGAGAGGAUAGCGGAAUUCCCAGUGUAGAGGUGAAAUUCGUAGAUAUUAGGAAGAACACCGGUGGCGAAGGCGGCCCACUGGUCCGGUACUGACGCUGAGGUGCGAAAGCGUGGGGAGCAAACAGG
rnacentral:rRNA from 1 species